GAUGAACGCUGGCGGCGUGCCUAAUACAUGCCAGUCGAGCGAACGGACGAGAAGCUUGCUUCUCUGAUGUUAGCGGCGGACGGGUGAGUAACACGUGGAUAACCUACCUAUAAGACUGGGAUAACUUCGGGAAACCGGAGCUAAUACCGGAUAAUAUUUUGAACCGCAUGGUUCAAAAGCGAAAGACGGUCUUGCUGUCACUUAUAGAUGGAUCCGCGCUGCAUUAGCUAGUUGGUAAGGUAACGGCUUACCAAGGCAACGAUGCAUAGCCGACCUGAGAGGGUGAUCGGCCACACUGGAACUGAGACACGGUCCAGACUCCUACGGGAGGCAGCAGUAGGGAAUCUUCCGCAAUGGGCGAAAGCCUGACGGAGCAACGCCGCGUGAGUGAUGAAGGUCUUCGGAUCGUAAAACUCUGUUAUUAGGGAAGAACAUAUGUGUAAGUAACUGUGCACAUCUUGACGGUACCUAAUCAGAAAGCCACGGCUAACUACGUG
rnacentral:rRNA from 1 species